UGUUGAUGAUGAUUGUGGUGGUGGUGUUGAUGGUGAUAGCGAUGAUGAUGAUGAUGAUGAUCAUCAUCAUCAUCAUCAUCAUCAUCAUUAUGACUA
rnacentral:pre_miRNA from 1 species